rnacentral:rRNA from 1 species
GCUUGUCUCAAAGAUUAAGCCAUGCAUGUCUAAGUGUAAAUAAGUCUAUACUGUGAAACCGCGAAUGGCUCAUUAAAUCACACCUAAUCUACUGGAAAGUUACUAGUUACUUGGAUAACUGAGGUAAUUCUUGAGCUAAUACAUGCGAAAAAUCUCGACUCACGGAGAGAUGCUUUUAUUAGAUCAAAACCAAACGGCUUCGGCCGUCUCAUUGGUGACUCUGAAUAACUUUGGGCUGAUCGUAUGGCCUUGUGCCGACGACGUUUCCUUCGAAGGUGUGCCCUAUCAACU